UCCUCAACCGACCGUUAGAAGGAAAGAAAAUAGUUCAUACACAUCACUACAAUUUCUUCCGCUAACUGAGAUGAAAAGUUACAGCAGAAAAGGAAUGUGGCUACCAAUACCAGAUAUUCUGACAUUUGGAACGAUAGAAAGAGCUGGUUGUUUUUUAUUGAAGUGCUAUAAACUUAUUGGAAAUCACUUUUCAAGAAGUUAUGGGGGUUGUUUGGAAAAUAGUUCUAUGAAAUGUUAUGGCUGAUUGAUUGUUUCAAAGAUGACUAGGCCAUGCAGGCACAAUUUCGUAUUAAAUAAGCUCCACUCAUAUUGGUUCUUGAAAUGAAUGGAAGCAAAUUAUAUAUGAUCACUAGGGAUGAAGUUAUAACAUCUUAUUGAUGUAAAACUUGAAGGAACUUAAAAGAACUAUCAAUAUAUGGCUCAUGAAAGAAAAGCAUUUUAAUAUCUUGGUGAGCACACAGCAGCGAGAUGAGCUUCAUUGUCUCUAAAAUUCUUGUUGCCAGAAAAUGCCCCUUUAUUAAGAAUGUUUUAAUCUUCCAAUCAAAUGUGGAGAACUGCGCCAUACUAAUUUUAAGAUCCAUCUUGGACCAUCAUGCGCAAAUGAAGAUGAAUGAGUAAAUGGACAUUUGAACUCUAAGAUAAGGAUUGGAGGCAAUUUUAGCCAAACAACUGUAUUUAGGUUGAUGCUCAGAGAUCAACCUUGACGGUGAUUUGAAUUGUACGUCGGUUUGGCCCGUAAGCCUCAUGAUUGGUGUCAAUGAGAUGUGCUUCAUCAAUGUCAAUGUGUGAGUAGAUACAAAUCUUAACGUGAUCAAGUGGUGCGGGAGCUAUUUUUUAGUUUCAUAAUGAUUACCCCCAAUUUUUAGAUAUAAAAAGUACAAAAAAGCUUCAUUGCCCCAUUUAUUAUACUUAGUAAAAAGUAUAAUAAAUUAUAUUUUUAUUAGAUUUAAAUGAGAAUUUGACUCUUAAUAAGACAAAAUAGAGAAAAAAGAUUCAUGUAGCCGACCCAACAUAAUGGGAUAAAUGCAUGAUAUUGUUUUUAUUGUUGUUUUGCUCGAUUAUAACUAGAACUCCUAGUAACCCAAAUAAUAACCUAAAUGUAGGAAAAUGGUCAUAUAUAUUGAAGCAACCUUUGUGUGGUGCCUGGAACAAUUUCCAAAGCAAAUGUUAACAGUGGAUUGAUACUUUCAUGAUCAACAAUUGAUUCAAUUGAAGCCAAUUUGGCAAAAGGGUAUACCACAAGUGGCUUACAAAUGGAUGUUAUGUGUACCAUCUCUUGUAUGUUGAUAACAUGUGGAUUCCAUGUCUUGUAUGUUGAUAACAUGUGGAUUCUGGUCAGUGACAUAUCAUAGGUUUAGACUUUGAAAGCUGAUUUGAGAAUUAAAAUUCAAGUUAAAAGAUCUUGGAGCGAGAAGGUAGAUGUAAAGGAUAGAGAUUGUACGAGAUAGAAAUGAAUUCAUUUUUCUUUAAUUCAAUAGAAAUAUGUUAAGGAGGUCUUUCUUGCAAGCAACAAAGCCUAACAAUUCUCUCUAUACUAGUCAUUUCUUGGUUGUCAACAGCUUCCCCUUCUUUGUCUACAAUAGAAGCAUAUGACUAGAGUAUAUUAUGCAUGUGCAACUAGAAGCAUUACGAAACCUAUAGUGAACAACUUUCAUCAACAGGUACAUGGAAAGCAUAGCAAGGCUCAUGUGAAAGAAAUGAAAUAGAUUUUGAACUAUUAACAAGGAAACACAUUAUUGUUUGAUGAGUGGUUGUGGCAAUUUUUUUAAAGUGAUGAUAUUUUCUGGUUCUGAUUAGGUCAGUGACCUUGAUAAAUAUAAGUCAUAAAACGAGCAGAUCUUCACUUUCACAAGGGAUGCCUUAAGUAUCAAGCAAAACAAAAACACAAAAGGAGUUCCAUAAAUUGAAAGGCUUCCUUUAGCUUGCAGUAGUUUUUUUUUUUCCCCGUAAAGAAAGUAAAUGAUACUGAUUGAAGCUGACAAAAAGGUAAUUAGAUUAAUAGGUUUGCAUGGCUGGAAGAUUGGAUUUAGACUAAGAUUGUUCAGUGGAUUAAGGAGAUAAUUAGAGCGUUAUUCACCUAGCCCAUGAUCAAAUAAAUCAUGAGAGAACCAAACAUAUUGACUUAUGGUGUCAUUUCAUCAAAGCAAAAGUUUAAGAUGAUAAAAAUUUAAGUUCAAAAUUUUGCUGACACGUUUAUAAAUAUGAUCCUGAUCCACAAGUUCAUUCCAUUCCUGAAAAUUGUUAGUAUUUGCAAUUUCUGAUGACCAAUAAGGUUUUAAAUGAUGCGAAGGCUAUGCUGACCAAUGAAUUGACUAUGGUAAUUGACUUUGCCUUUAUUUGAGAGGGAGGAUAUUACAAAAGUGGAGAAAUUAUAAGGGUUAUAUCAAGCACCAAGGUGUAAAAGUGGAAGUAAAAAAUAAUGAGAGCAAUGGGCGUGGCUUAUCAUUUUUAUCUAUGAUUUCCAUUGGUUCUUUACUGGGAGAGAAAAGCAAAUAAAAAAUGAUUAGCAAUCAUUCUUUCAUUGGUCUCUUUAUUUUCUUUUUUUUUUUAGGGUAUUUAUUAUUUCGUGCCAGCAUAACUUCUCCUAGACAGGAGAAAUUAUUAGGUGCGGACACCGGACGGAGAGAACCGUACAGUUUACUCUCUCUCUACAGUAAAAGCGCAAUUAAAACGCAGCUACUACAGCAACUGUGCUUUUAAUGUUGACAGAGAGAAAUUCAGAUGAUUCUUUGUGUCCUAUGUCCGCACCUAAUAAUUUUCCCCUAGACAAACCCUAUCUUUCUUUGUGAAACCAAGAAGCAUUUGGGCUGCUUCUCAUAACAGCAUGGCAUUAUAGAAGAAAUGAACUAAAAGCGUGAAUUCUGAAUUAGCCAGCAUCAAUAUUAACGAGUGAAUUUCCAAGGAAUUUCAGAAAAACCUUCCCGUAGAGCACAUACUACAAUGACCUAAGUUAUGCCGCAUCUGAAGCACAGAAUUUACCACAGAGUGAAAAAUCAAGACGCUUAUAGGUCAAAUUUAUCAUUAAGUGCAUCAGUUGAGAUGAACCCCAAGGUGUUGCCAAAGAAAAAGAGUCGUCUUCUAUAGCCAUUUCAAAGAAAGCAGUAAAAACCU